UGGCGUCAGGAGCUGGGCGCCGGGGCUGUUUAGAAAACCGGAAGUGCCUGUGGCAAACUUGCCGGUCCCAGACUAGCGUAAGUUAGAACCGGUCGCUGGUUAAGGGUCCGAGGACCGGUGCGUCUUCCUUCAAACGUUUGUAUGACUAACGUGGUACGUCACAUCCAACCUUGAGAGUCAGACCUCUGUCGGGACUACCACUGGACCUUGGGGCAAGUUACUUCACGUUUCUCAGCAUUAAAUCAUUUAGAUAAAUAUUUUUUGAGGCAGUGUGGGCACGCAGUAUGAACCGAGGGAAAGUGAAAACUUGAGACAAGAAUCGACGAAACAAAGAUUUGUGCCCAUAAUUGAGGUAGCAUUCACGGAUAAACACGUUCUGAUCUACAAGUGCCAGCUGGGUUGAGACAGCGCCGAAUGAAACAAGACGACAGCUUCCUUAGUUUAAAUCCAGGGAGGAGAGACACAAGCGCCUGUACAGGUCGGGUGAUGGUGACGGAAGCACAGUCCUUGAAGUGGGGCAGCAAGCCAGGCCUUACCAAGGGUAAGACCAUUCCUGGCAGAGGGAACAGCAAUUGCCAAGGCCCCAGGGGCCUGUGCUGCAGUAAUAGUUGAUCACUUACUCUGAGGAAAGCCAGCUGUCACAUCAUGAGGACACUUAAGCAGCCUCAUGGAGUCUCAUGUGGCAAGGAAGUGAGGCCUGCCAGUAGCCACGUGAGUAAGCAACCUUCCCAUGACUGGUCUUGGCCAACAGCUUGACUGCAACCUCAUGAAAUGCUGAGCUACAAACCACCCAGCUAAGCUACUUUGAAUCCUUGGCCCACAGAAACUGAGAUAUACACACCUUUCUCUCCUAACCACGGACUCAUCACUGGGUGCCAAGGGCUGAAUGAAUGCAGAAUGAAGAUAAAGGAAAGGUACCUGGCCAUAUUCUGUAUAAUUUUAAAACUAAAAUUCAACUGUUUUCCUUGGACAUGGAGGUUUGUGGUUGGUUCUGAACCACAUAACAUUGUCUACAGUUGAGGAAAAUUGUGAUGCUGGAAAGAGUGAAUGCUUUACGAAAGUAUCUGUGAUGCCCAUCUUCUUUCUAACCAGCUGUGCAACCUCUGGAAAGAUAUGUGAACUCUCUGAGCCUCAAGAAUCCCCUCUCUAAAAUGGAGAUAGUGUCCACCUCAAAGGAUUGUUGUGCCAUGUGAAGUGCAGAGAACCUAGCAACUAGGUUCAACAGACACUAUUACAAUUUAAA